GUCGAGGGGCAGCGGGGGUGAUGGCUUGCCAUCGCCUGCCGGCGACCGGCGCACGGGUGAGUAACACGUAUGCAACCUGCCCGCCACAGGGGGAUAAGCGGAAGAAAUUCCGUCUAAUACCGCGUGACGCGGCGCCGGGGCAUCCCGGUGCCGCCAAAGGGAUUACCGGUGGCGGAUGGGCAUGCGGCGCAUUAGCUAGUCGGCGGGGUAACGGCCCACCGAGGCGACGAUGCGUAGGGGUUCUGAGAGGAAGGUCCCCCACACUGGUACUGAGACACGGACCAGACUCCUACGGGAGGCAGCAGUGAGGAAUAUUGGUCAAUGGGCGGGAGCCUGAACCAGCCAAGUCGCGUGAGGGAUGACGGUCCUACGGAUUGUAAACCUCUUUUGCCGGGGAGCAAGCGUGCGUUCGUGAACGCACGUCGAGAGUACCCGGAGAAAAAGCAUCGGCUAACUCCGUGCCAGCAGCCGCGGUAAUACGGAGGAUGCGAGCGUUAUCCGGAUUUAUUGGGUUUAAAGGGUGCGUAGGCGGGAUGCCAAGUCAGCGGUAAAAAUGCGGUGCUCAACGCCGUCGAGCCGUUGAAACUGGCGUUCUUGAGUGGGCGAGAAGUAUGCGGAAUGCGUGGUGUAGCGGUGAAAUGCAUAGAUAUCACGCAGAACUCCGAUUGCGAAGGCAGCAUACCGGCGCCCUACUGACGCUGAGGCACGAAAGCGUGGGUAUCGAACAGGAUUAGAUACCCUGGUAGUCCACGCAGUAAACGAUGAAUGCUAACUGUCCGGUGCGAGUGAGCGCUGGGCGGUAC
rnacentral:rRNA from 1 species